ACCAAGGGUGGACUUAUGCUGU
rnacentral:miRNA from 1 species